rnacentral:RNase_MRP_RNA from 1 species
AUGUUACACCGGGCGAAAGUCCCCGGGCGCUGAGGCAGAAAGUGUCAGCUCGCAAGGGCAGGACCUCCCUGGGCCACCCGUCAGGGGCCGGCCGGGGUGCAGCUCGCCAUAGUUACAGUUAUGUGGCCAGUAGGGAAACAACCUACCAACUCAACGGGGCUUACUCUUGUG